AUGCAGUCGAGCGGAGAUGAGGUGCUUGCACCUUAUCUUAGCGGCGGACGGGUGAGUAAUGCUUAGGAAUCUGCCUAUUAGUGGGGGACAACAUUCCGAAAGGAAUGCUAAUACCGCAUACGCCCUACGGGGGAAAGCAGGGGAUCUUCGGACCUUGCGCUAAUAGAUGAGCCUAAGUCGGAUUAGCUAGUUGGUGGGGUAAAGGCCUACCAAGGCGACGAUCUGUAGCGGGUCUGAGAGGAUGAUCCGCCACACUGGGACUGAGACACGGCCCAGACUCCUACGGGAGGCAGCAGUGGGGAAUAUUGGACAAUGGGCGGAAGCCUGAUCCAGCCAUGCCGCGUGUGUGAAGAAGGCCUUUUGGUUGUAAAGCACUUUAAGCGAGGAGGAGGCUACUUAGAUUAAUACUCUAGGAUAGUGGACGUUACUCGCAGAAUAAGCACCGGCUAACUCUGUGCCAGCAGCCGCGGUAAUACAGAGGGUGCGAGCGUUAAUCGGAUUUACUGGGCGUAAAGCGUGCGUAGGCGGCUGAUUAAGUCGGAUGUGAAAUCCCUGAGCUUAACUUAGGAAUUGCAUUCGAUACUGGUCAGCUAGAGUAUGGGAGAGGAUGGUAGAAUUCCAGGUGUAGCGGUGAAAUGCGUAGAGAUCUGGAGGAAUACCGAUGGCGAAGC
rnacentral:rRNA from 1 species